rnacentral:tRNA from 1 species
GCGGCCUUGGCGAAACUGGUAGACGCACUACGUUGAGAGCGUAGUAUUUAGAGGUUCGAAUCCUCUAGGCCGCACCA